CAUCGAUUCGUUCAAAAUUUACAC
rnacentral:miRNA from 1 species